CUCUCACUCACACAAUUCCCAUUUCCCCCUACCCGGCCUUCUUCCCAUCUCGACCAAAACCAUCGCUUUGGUGACCGAGCCCUUUCGCCGGUCGCAUUUCCGAUUUCCCCUCCCCAGCCCUCUUCUAAUUUCGCCCAAAACCAUUGCUUUGGUGACCGAACUAUCAGUUUAGAGGAAUCUGUGGGAAGACAACAACUGGUUCAGCGUAGUUAAUUGUGGGAAGGCACGACGAGAUGGUCGCAGUGAUACAACGUUCUCCUCCUUCCGCUUCUUCUGCUCCACUCCUACCCGAAACCAUUGUGGAAGAAAUGACUGGUAGUCGAUCACUUUGACGUGCACAAAAGGUUGUUUCUAGAGGUGUUUCCAAUAGGGGGAAAUGAUAGAUUAGCUAUAUCAUAGUCUACACCAACAAAUCCUGAUUCAAUAGAUGAAGAUCGCAAUGAUACUUUGGAACCAUCCCAACCAUCAUAUCAUAGUUCAGGACAACAGCCUGGUCGCUCCAAUGUUGAGACCUUUCCUACAGGUAGUACAUCACUUAGGCGCGCACAAAAUGUUAUUUCUAGAGGUGUGUCCAAUAGUUGCGAAAAUGGUAGAUUAGCUAAUUCACAGUCAAAAACAAAAAAUAAUUCAAUGGAUGAAGAUCGCAGUGAUACUCUGGAACAAUCUCAACCAUUAUAUCAUAGUUUAGGGCAACAACCUCAUCGUUCUGAUGUUGGAAACUUGCCUACAAGUAUGGGACGAACCAUAUGCGCAGAUCUUCAAAAUCUACCUCCGGGCACAUGUGUGCAUAUAGAAGUAAAUGAUAAUAGUUUGUCAUGUAAUAUAUCAGAGUCUAAUAUAUUAAGAUCAUAUAUGGGUGUUAUUGCUAGAGAUCCUGUGUUGACACCCAUAUCAUUUUCUGUUUGGUGCAACAAAGGCAUGGAGCCUUUUGAAAAAAAGAUAUUAGCAAAGAUUGAGGUAUAUUAGAAUAUAUUAAAUAAUUUAAAUUAUUAUUUAUUAUUUUACAUGUAACUUUUAAUCAAGUUAUUUGCAGACUAAAUUUAAAAUUCCUGCCGUAUACGUCAUUGAAUUUUGGAAUAUGUUGGCACUAAAUGGCAUAACUACAAUAAUAGCCUACAAUCAUAGCAUUGGGAUAGUCAUCCCAUACAGGAGAUUAUGAAGCAUGUUCCUGAAGGAGUAGACACACUUCAAUGGUGUCAACUUGUGACACAGUGGUCACAAGUGGAUGAUUAGGCUUCAUUAUAUUUUAUCUAUGUUUAAACUGAACAAAAGAAUUGAUAUUUUUUUUCUUGCAAAAAAGGACGAUAAAAAAUAAUGAAAAUGCGAAAAAUAAAAACAGACAUGUCCUAACACAAUGGGCGAAUUAUCUUUGUCAGGCGAUAGACUGAAACUAUAAGAUGUUAUUUUUUUAAUAAAUUAUAAAUAGUAAGUAUUGCAAAUUAAUUUUUUUUUAUCAUUUUUUUUCAAGGCUAUUCAUGAUUGACUGCAAUUAUGGAGACUUUAUAUGAUACACAAGUAUGGGACAUGGUCAUCUGAAAAUGCUAACGAGAAAUGGGCAAUAAUAUCAGCUUAUUAUAUUUAUAGUGCUUAAUUAAAUAAAUCAUUUUGAUUUUAAUUAUAUAUACUUUUGUAAUGCAAAAACAAGCUUGUAUGAUGUUAGAGAUGGAAGGGUUAAGUCUGGAAGAUGGUAAUAUAGAAGCAAAUGAGAGGGCUUUCAUGGUUGUUAUGGGCCCUGAACACCCUAAAAGGGUACGAACAUAGUGGUUUGGAGUCACUCCAACUCGAGUUUUUGCACAUAGUACCACAACUGCAGGUGAAAGAAAUAGUAUGUCUAUAUGUGCUCAAGUUGAAAAAUUAGAAAAUGACAUUCGUUCCUUACGGAAUGAGGUAAGACGAUUCAUUCAACAAAUGCAGUCGAAUUAUCAACCACAAAAAGAAUCAAACUCGGGAUGCAACGAAACUUAAGCUGAAUGGCGAAUUGAGGGGGAAUCUCACAUAUUGGUCAUUUUUUUAUGCACUUUUGUUUAUUGUAUUUUGAUUUGUUUUAUUGUAAGGUUGAUGGACAUUUGUCUGAUAGAUUGAUAAAUGUUUUAAUGUUUAGGGGAUGUUAC